rnacentral:rRNA from 1 species
AACGGAGGGUGCAAGCGUUGUUCGGAAUUACUGGGCGUAAAGCGCGUGCAGGCGGUUUUUUAAGUUUCAUGUGAAAUCCCCCGGCUUAACCGGGGAACUGCGUGGAAAGCUGGAAAACUUGAAUUCGGGAGAAGAAGGCGGAAUUCCCAGUGUAGAGGUGAAAUUCGUAGAGAUUGGGAGGAACACCGGCGGCGAAAGCGGCUAUCUAGACCGAUAUUGACGCUCAUACGCGAGAGCGUGGGGAGCAAACAGG